AUUGAACGCUGGCGGCAGGCCUAACACAUGCAAGUCGAGCGGUAACAGGAAUUAGCUUGCUAAUUUGCUGACGAGCGGCGGACGGGUGAGUAAUGCUUGGGAAUAUGCCUUAUGGUGGGGGACAACAGUUGGAAACGACUGCUAAUACCGCAUAAUCUCUUCGGAGCAAAGUGGGGGACCUUCGGGCCUCACGCCAUGAGAGUAGCCCAAGUGGGAUUAGCUAGUUGGUAAGGUAAAGGCUUACCAAGGCGACGAUCCCUAGCUGGUCUUAGAGGAUGACCAGCCACACUGGAACUGAGACACGGUCCAG
rnacentral:rRNA from 1 species